CCCCCCCGGAUUCUCCACCGGCCACCGAAACCCCAAUCCCAUCUUUUCGAGUCUCGAUGUCACCGCCUCCUCUUUUGCCACCAUAGUGGCGCCUCUUCUUCCAAUGUUGUAGCGCCGCCUCUCUCCCUCCUCAUCCACCACUGCGCCGCCUUCCUCUUCCACCACUAGCCUCUUUCCCCUUUCCUUCUCCGCCGACGGCAGCUAGCACAUCUCCUCUCCGAUCGACGAGAUCAAGCUCUCUUCCCUCUCCACCGAGCUCGAGCCCUAUCCCCGCUUCACUGACGAGAGGGACUACGGUAGUGAUGAAGUGAGGUCACCACCGCAUACAACCACAAGCUCGCCAGAGGGUGAUGAGAUCGGUGGUAGUGAGCUUCAAGUGCUGAAGGCCGACGAGCCCCAUGCGAUAAAUGGACAUGAGGUCAGCCUUUCCCCUUCACUAUCGCCGUCGUUAUCUCAGAUCUGGUCAAGGGGGAGUUCAGUGGACAUGACCACAUCAUGGGGACACGAGCUCACCCAACGUGUGGCCCCAAAGCAGUGGUUUUGCAACUCUCAAACUCGUGCCGAGGCAAUCAUGAUCUUUGCAGGUGCGGCAAGGCAUCGCAGAGCCAUGGUUCCCAAAGCCACGGCUUGUCUCCGACGUGAAGGGUUGACCACAGUGGUGCGUAGGGCAUGGCCUAAGACACCUGACCAUUCAUAAAUUUGGUUCAGGCACCACUGCUCUAGAAGAAGAAAAUUACACAAAAUUCAUUAUGGUCAUUGUCCGUUCUUGAAGUCUCUCUCGCUUGGUUUGCCCUGGAAAAGAAAAGAAAAGAAAAGAAAAGGAGAGGGAGAGAGGAAUACUUGGGGGAGAUGUCUGUUUAAUUUGACUAGCGGUAAUCUGGUUGGUUUGGGUUAGGAAAGUUCCUGGUGCUGAACGCAGAUUUGUAUGUACGGCGUACGUGCUUCUUUGGGUGUGGAGAACGGAACGUGUAUUGAAAACCGAGCGUGUGCAGUCGACUUGCAUUGAUCUUUUCAAAGUACUCCGUAGUACCCAGUACAUUCUCUGAAUGGGAUAAAUUGUCAAUCUGAAACUAAUGGGGUAAUAUGUUUUCGUGCAUUAUAAAAAAAA